CGGCAGGAGGAUCCGUCAAAGCUUUGAGACGGUGACGCCUUAAAUCCAUGAAGCUACCGGAACCGACGCCCGUCGAUGGGCUACGCGGGAAUGGGAAUAAUUCAUCCGUCGACUGCACCCGGAGAUGUCUCGGUGAAUACGGUUGUGGACAGGAGUUCGACUCUCCUCGCCUCCACCA
rnacentral:tmRNA from 1 species